GAUGAUUGAGAUUCCCACAUCGGGGAAGCUUUUGGCAGGGAACUCAAACUGUAAUAUAAAUAUGAACGAUGGCUAACAUUUAAACAUACUUACCUGGACGGGGUCAAUGGGCGAUCAAGAAGAUCCAUGGCCUAGGUUGGUGACCUCCAUUGCACAUACCGGAGGGGUGCCCGCCUAAGGUCUGCCCAAAGUGGCAGAGCCUACGUCAUAAUUUGUGGUUGCGGGGGCCUGCGUUCGCGCGGCCCCUUCCCAAUUCUCCAGUUUCAACUCUUCAAUCUUCCAGCUCAAAGUCCAAGCACGAACGAUAAUUUCCAUUCAUGUGAGAGUUCGAGGCUUUGAGACUGAUUCAUAAAUUUGGAAGGCUCCUUACUAAUAAAAAUGGAUUUUUCACCUUAAUCUAAGAUUUAGGUGUUUUUUGGGUUCUACUCAGAAUAUCCAAAUCCCCUUAAGCUAAGAGCCAGAUCCUUCAUGGCAUAACUUUCUGCAUUUAGGUUGAUACCAGUGGUAUGGUUGCUUUAUUCAGGCGGGGUGAUUCUUUUUUGUGGUUAUCGAACUUCUGAUCCUUGAUUGAGAUGGAAUCUAUUUUCCCCAAAAUCAGGUGAAGUGGAAAGUAUGAAAGACUUGAUAUUCUAGUAGCCGUGGAAGUUCUAUGUUCUAACAUCUAUCGGAAUUUUUAAAAUUCUCAAUGUCAAUGAAAAUGUUCUUGAGUCUCACUUUUACGAAAACGCCAAUGGAAGUGUUAAUAUCCAGUUAUAUUCAAUUUUACGAAAAUGUAAAUGGAAGUAUCAAUAAAAUGUUCCGUUGAUUUAAAAUGUAAAUCAGAAAAUAAUUUUUUUGUAAGUAAAGUUAAAGGCUUAAAAUAUAAAGUUCGUAUCAAUUUUUCAUUUUGGUGUACAUAAUUUGUUGCCACAAAGUUAGGGUCCGUUUCUAAUGUCCAUAAAUUUACUUUGCGACUCCAAUAGUCUUUUGUCUAUUGAGCCUCAAUGCUCUCAAGUGAGAUAAUGUAACUUAUUGGAAUGGAUCCAAGUUGGGAGAA